GCCAUUGCAUUGAGCGGCAGCCAGUAGCCACAAGCUAUGGUGCAGCCCUGCAGUUGGGGAAUCCUCCUCGCCGUCCUUGUCACGGCGGCCGUCGUCGUCCCGCCGGCGACCGCGACAGUGGCGAGCAUCGACCUUGGCUCAUCUCCUUCCCGGCCUUACGGAAGCAGAAGAGGGACCAAUGGCGUCGUCCCUCUCCCUCGUGCCCCCAAGAUCAUCGCCGUCUCCACCGGCGCAGGAGCUAGGAAGCUACCGCAGCCUGCCUUGCCUUCGCUGUCGAAUCCUUCUUCCACGCACCGCUGGCUGCCACCACAGCCUCCAUCGCAUCGUCGCUCCCUCGCUAGCCGGCCACCUCCACCUCGCUUGAGGUCGUCGCGACAGUGAAGAAGGGGUACAAGAUGAAGUCGACAUGACAGUGAAGAAGGGGUACAGAUCCCGUUUACCAUGGCGGGAUCUCCAGCCAUGGUAAGCGGGAUUCCUUCCAUAUUUGUCGUGUGUGCGAGAUCUGUGGCAGCCAUGGCCCUAAACCGUGCCCCUUGUCCACCCCCUUUGCAAAAUCGACAUUGGUGGGCGAGAUCCGGGGUAGCCAUCGCCCCCAACCGUGUACCCUUGUCCACCCCCAUUCCAAAAUCGGUCAGCCACUGCUAUUAAAAGGAGCUGAGGCUUCCAACCAACCACCAAGGGCAGGAAUGGCAGUGGCGCCAAAGCAAAGGGGAUGCGCCACUGAUCUCGUUCGUACCUCCUGCUCUAGGUACCGGCGGCGGUCGAGUUUAUUUGGUAGUAACAUCCUGUUAGUUUUCACCCGUUCUUGUGAUUUGUUGUUAGAAGCUGCUUAUGGCUGAGGUUAAGCGCACCCAUGGAGGAGGGAUGCGAUGUGACGAGGUAUGGAACGGGGAGCAACCGAAGCAGAGAUUGGAUCAAAGAGGGCUAGGCUAUGAAUUUCUAUAUUGCUCUGUGCUCUAGGUUGUAUCCUUUUUAAUGCAAUCUAGGUAUGUAUCCUUAUCUUUUGUUAACCAAAUGACCAGCUUGCUUUAACCUAUAACGAAAUAUGGUAUCUAUUCUUGACAGAAAUCUGGUGGGAAUUAAAUAUGGUGUUUUCACCCUCAUAUUGUGAUUUUCCCAUUUUAUGGUUAUUUAACUAUUUUAAAACUUCAUAUGCUCCUUGCAGUGAUUGGAUAAUUUCCCCAAACUGGCUAAAAGAAAGCGUCAGAGAAGGGCAAUUUGUAGGUUAGUUCAAAGUCAACUAUAUAGAUAAAUAUCAUUGUGAAUUUUCUGUACAUUGAAGAGAAAAUAUGAAUGGUGUUGUUUCUGUUCUUCGUUAGCCCCUGGGUUUUUGUUGGAGCAAACUAUUUUACUAUGUCCUCGUUGGUUUCUUGUAUGAGAACAUUGGCUCUUAAAAUGGACAACAAAACACAAUGGACCCCGUGCCUUCUCUUAGGGUCUGUUUGGUUGGGCUGUGAGCUGUGAAAAAAGCUGCUGUGGGCUGUGAGCUGUGUAAAAAGCUGCUGUAGGCUGUAAGCUGUUAAAAAGCUAAAAACCAUUUGGUGGAAACCACUAAAAGUCGUUAAAAAUUCUUCGAUAUAUGUUUUCAUAGUUUCAUCCAAAAAGCCACUAAAAGCAGGUCCAGAGGUGCUUUCAGAUUUGCACUACGAGAAAGUCGGCUUUUAGAAAAAGUUGCUUCCUAGAUCCAGCCGUUUGGUUGGCUUUUGACUUUUAGGUGGCAAAAGCCAAAGCCAAAAGUCAAACCAAACACACCCUUAGCCUUUUCUGCUGUUUUGCAGAAGAAGCACAAUAUGUUCUGGAAGAUGAAGAAUAUAGGAUGCAAUAUAAGUCUGAACUUAGAGAUGCAGUUAUGAGAGCUAAAGAAAGGCAUAACUCCUUAUUUGCUGGUUAUAAGCACAUCCAACCCUCUUUUGAUGUUCUCUUAGCCAUUAUUAAAUCUACCGGAGGCAAGUAAACACAUUUAUAUUAAUUGACUUGUUCUACUAUAGCAUCUUAAAUACGUGCACAUGUCUGGUACGAAUUCCAGAUGACUUGCGGGGCCGAACCUUGCUCCAUUCAAUUCCUAAUAUGUGAGACAUGUCAGGCAAUGUCAAUUUUUUUAUUGGAGUUGUUAACUUGACACUUAUUCACCUUCUGGACUGAAAACCAAGACAAUACUGCAUCUAUUUAGUUAAACAUAUAUUACUUGGCUGCUAACACAACUAAGAGAAAUACUGAAAAUCAAUCCUUCGGUCUAUCCUUUCAUAGGAUUUUAAUUUGUGCAUGACAGAGAGUUUUACAUGUCAGAAAUUUAUAGAUGUCGGAGAGUUCAUUGCAGUUCAUCUCCUUCACUGCAUCUUGCAUAUUUUCUCUCUCUUUCAGCUGGUUACAGUAACAAGGGACCACCAUUUUGAUGCAAAGUUAAGCAUCUGCAUUUUACUCGAGUUACAUGUCACUGCUACCCCUUAAUCCUGAGAGAAUAACUAUUUGUCAUGAAUAACUAUCUGCAUAAAAUUAACUAACAAUCUCCUUUUGGUUAUCUAAGUAUUUGGUGAUGCUUUCUUUUUUUUAAGGGUUAGCAACUGACGGUGGUUUCGUAUAUCUUCAUCUAUCAUGCAAUAUUUUAUAGUAGCAUGUUUGGAUACAAUCUGAGUUCUUUCAAAAUCUUUUAAUUUCCAAUCAUAUGUAUGGUGGCAGUUCCAAAGCAGAUUGUUGCAUUGAAAACAAUAAACACCAUAUGUGGUUGCUGAUCAGAUGCGGGCAGUGUCAAUUUUUUUAUUGGAGUUGUUAACCUGACACUCAUUCACCUUCUAGACUUAAAACCAAGACAGUACUGCAUCUAUAAUUGUACCAAACUUUAUUUCCGUGUCUACGUUGCUAACCAAAAUUUAGAGUUAAACUUUGUCAAACUACUUUAUUACUUGGCUGCUAACACAACUGAGAGAAAUACUGAAAAUCAAACCUUCAGUCCAUCCUUUCAUAGGAUUUAGCUAAUAGUGGCAUGUGGGGAUGUAUUUUAUUCUUUAUUGGAACGUGGUGGGUUUUCUGUAGUGGUGAGCUACAAAUUUUAAUACAUAAUCCUUGGUGCUCUACAUGAGUUUCAUUCAAGCUGAGAAGGGCAUAGCUGUUGCCAAGGUUCCCCGUUCAACGCUUGCAGCCAUAUCCCUCUGCCAGCCUGGCGGUGGUGGGGAGGGAGAUUGGGAUGGAGCAUGUGCCGAUGUGGCUGCGUGCGUUCCCGGAUCUGCACACCUAUGUCAGCAUGUAGGUGUGGGUUGAGCCGUCAGUGACUAAUGACAUGAUGGACAAGGUGGAGCAGGUGCGCCAACGAAGGAAUGCCGAGAAGUCCCUGCUCAGCUUACAAUGAAGAUUGGCUAUAGCAAGCGUGGAAGAAUUAACGAAUAAUGGUUGUCAGGAGACAUAUUAAGGUGGAGCAGGUGCGGCAACAGAGUAAGGAAGAAUUUCCCUUUUUUUUCCUCGCAUGCAGUUGUUUGGUCGGAUUUUCUUGAUCUCGCGGUGGCGCACCUAGAAAUCCGAUUUGAAUCGGUUCCAAACAGUAUAUAAUAAAAUGAUAUAUUUAGAAAAGUUGAAUCGGAAAUCUUGCGUGAGCAUAUCAAGAAAGAGAGGGAGGCAGCAAAGGCUGGAAAAUGACCAUAUUAUCUGAAGAAAUAUGGUGAUCAGCGAGAUCGACUCGUCAAUCGCUACCUCGCUGCAGGCCGUGAAGCUGCUCGCUCUGUACCUCACUGGAGACAAGGAAGGUGCUAUCUCCAGUCUCAAGGAAUGGUUGAGUGAUUCAGCAACUGGAAGCAAUCUUGUUCUGCGAUUGAUUGCCGGAAUUAUAUUUAUGCGUGAGCAGGACUACAAUGAGGCUCUCAAGCACACACACUCUGGAGGAACUCUGGAUUUGGAGGCGAUAAUUGAUCCUGCAGAAAUUUUUGAACAGUUAGAAAAGAAAAAUUGAUCCCCCAAGCAUUAGCAGCAAAAAGGUUUCUGGAACAGAAAAUUAUAGUAUUGAUGUUAAGGAUGCUAAAUAGAGAAUUCUGAAGACGGCUUCACCGAAAGUGCGGAAACUAGAGACUAAAGAGAUCAGACCCAACAAAGAAAAAAAUCGACAUUGCAAGGAGGCCAAAGCCUGCGCCAUGACCCUCUGGAGCACCCUGCUAUGGUGCUGCCAGCGCAACCGCCUCGUAGGUGAGUGCACGUGCGUUGCAUGUGGUCUGGUGGUAACGCAUGUGCUCCUAACCAUACAGAAAAAAAUUGACACUGCAAGGAGGCCAAAGCCUGCCCUGGUGACCCCCUCGAGCACCCUGCUACGGUGCUACAAGCGCAACCGCCUCGCAAGUUGACGUUCCGGCGGGGCAAAGUACUGAACCCUGAAGAGAGCAGUGGCAGCACCCCAAAAUGGCUCUGGUUCAGGCCUUCCAUAGCCGUGGCAGACGCGAAAUCCAGGAGCAGAUGCGACAAGAUCAUAAUUAGGAGGAGCGGCGACGAUGCUGUAGCGAGAGACGCGGGUGCCGAGGUCGUCGUGCUGCAGUGGUGGUAGGACUGGAAGGAGACGAAAAAGUAGGAGUCAGGGCUGUUCAACAACGUGAUCGAGUCGCUGAGGCGAGGAAGAGCAAGGUGAAGGCACCCGUCGGUGCCUUUGAGACCGACAGACCAUCAUCUCGCUACAGAAACGAGCAAGCCUGCUGCUGCUCCAGCUAUGGCAGCAGGUGCGUGCCAUGAGCGCUUCUAGACCUGCAGUGUGCAUGAUCACCUUUCUUGAAAUUUUGGACCUUUUUUGUUGUUAGUGACAGUAAAAGUGGUGCUUGUUGAGGUUUGCUCGUUCGUAUAGGUUUUGUGUCUGUGCAAGGCUUGGCAAGUUGGUAUUGUACUGAUAAGUGAUAAGUAAGCAAGUUACUGUAAUGAUUUAAACUAGAUUGUUUUGAAAGGAAAUAGAAAGGAUAAAGCAAAUAAACUUUGUAUUAAAUUACCUGAUUCAUGAAAAAUGGUACUAACCUUCUUCUAA